rnacentral:rRNA from 1 species
AUUGAACGCUGGCGGCAGGCCUAACACAUGCAAGUCGAGCGGAUGAAGGGAGCUUGCUCCUGGAUUCAGCGGCGGACGUGUGAGUAAUUCCUGGGAAUCUGCCUGUUAGUGUGUGAUAACGUCCGUAAACGGGCGCUAAUACCGCAUACGUCCUGAGGGAGAAAGUGUGGGAUCUUCUGACCUCACGCUAUCAGAUGAUCCUAGGUCGUAUUAGCUAGUUGGUGGUGUAAAGGCCUACCAAGGCGACGAUCCGUAACUGGUCUGAGAGGAUGAUCAGUCACACUGGAAAUGAGACACGGUCCAGAAUCAUACGGGAGGCAGCAGUGGGGAAUAUUGGACAAUGGGCGAAAGACUGAUACAGACAUGCCGCGUGUGUGAAGAAGGUCUUCGGAUUGUAAAGCACUUUAAGUUGGGAGGAAGGGCAGUAAGUUAAUAACUUGCUGUUUUGACGUUAACAACAGAAUAAGCACCGGCUAACUUCGUG